rnacentral:tRNA from 1 species
GCCUGGGUGGCUCAGUUGGAUAAGUGUCUGACUUUGGCUCAGGUCAUGAUCUUAUGAUUUGUGGGUUCAAGCCCCAUGUCAGGCU